rnacentral:rRNA from 1 species
UACGUAGGGGGCAAGCGUUGUCCGGAUUUAUUGGGCGUAAAGAGCGUGUAGGCGGCCGUACAGGUCAGCUGUGAAAACUCGAGGCUCAACCUCGAGACGUCGGUUUGAAACCGUACGGCUAGAGUCCGGAAGAGGAGAGUGGAAUUCCCGGUGUAGCGGUGAAAUGCGCAGAUAUCGGGAAGAACACCCGUGGCGAAGGCGGCUCUCUGGGACGGUACUGACGCUGAGACGCGAAAGCGAGGGGAGCAAACGGGG